AAAUAACAGCCACAAUAGCUAUGACACCAAAUAUGAAAAACACGUUUCCAGCUCCCACCAACUCCUGCAUCCACCAAUAUAAUAAAAAUUAGAGAACAAGCCAGCUAAGAUCACAAGACGGGAUUUAAUCCAAUAUUGAAUGAUCAAUCAAUAACUCGAUCUCAACGAUUUGAGUACCUCCAUAGGAGAAAAUGCAAAUGUCACGAGAGCGUUGGUUCCGAAGUUGACAAGAACCGCAAUGCUCAAACCACGCCCUCUCACUCUCAGAGGAAAGAUCUCCGAAAUCAUCAACCAACCAAUUGGACCAAAA